UGGGGAAUUUUGGACAAUGGGCGCAAGCCUGAUCCAGCCAUGCCGCGUGCGGGAAGAAGGCCUUCGGGUUGUAAACCGCUUUUGUCAGGGAAGAAAUCUUCUGAGUUAAUACCUCGGGAGGAUGACGGUACCUGAAGAAUAAGCACCGGCUAACUACGUGCCAGCAGCCGCGGUAAUACGUAGGGUGCAAGCGUUAAUCGGAAUUACUGGGCGUAAAGCGUGCGCAGGCGGUUUUGUAAGACAGAGGUGAAAUCCCCGGGCUCAACCUGGGAACUGCCUUUGUGACUGCAAGGCUUGAGUGCGGCAGAGGGGGGAUGGAAUUCCGCGUGUAGCAGUGAAAUGCGUAGAUAUGCGGAGGAACACCGAUGGCGAAGGCAAUCCCCUGGGCCUGCACUGACGCUCAUGCACGAAAGCGUGGGGAGCAAACAGGAUUAGAUAGCCCUGGUAGUCCACGCCCUAAACGAUGUCAACUGGUUGUUGGGAAGGUUCCUUCUCAGUAACGU
rnacentral:rRNA from 1 species